ensembl:lncRNA
CAACGAUCUGGCCACUGGGCAUGAGAGGUGUUUUGUGGGAAUAACCAAACUGCUACUUCCUUGGAAGAAAUGAGAUUUCUGUGCAAGUUGUUACAUCAUGUGGCUUAGCAAAUUUCCCUCCAGGCACUGCCCAACUUGAGGUAAUCAGCUCUGCUUGAGAGAACAUGGAGAAUAAGCAUGUUUAAUGCAAUUAUGAAGGCUUUCUAAAGCUCCAGACCUGGUCUAGAAUAUGUAAAUUUGGCCGCCUAGCAUGAGUGAAUGCAAACUUUGCUUUGCAUGCCUGGCAAUUGUUUUAAUGCUCUCCGAUUUUUCGGAGGUAAUAAAGUUUCCCACUAAGCCAUCUCUGAGCUCUCAAAGCUGUUUAAUUGAAUGAAUUCAGCCUUACAGAAGACAAGUCAGGGCUUUCAGCUUCUUUCUCUGAGCCACCGGAUAUUUAGCCACUCUGCAUACAAUGCCACCCCGCCUCAUUAGCAAGCCCCUUUAGGGCCGCUAUGAAAUACUGCUGCAGUCAUGCCGAAGCAGCUCCCAACCUGAGGACAGCUCAGAUGCUGGGUCACGCUGGUCAGGUUAGAAAUGGCCCCGAGCUGGGCAGACAGUGCCUGUGAUAGUGAUGUCCUCUUUUCCAGGCUCCGGUGCAAUUUCAAGCGGUCUCAAAGCUGCCCAGCGGAGAAUACAGGGGAUGUGUAUGUUGUUCUUUACAUUUCCCCAUCAAUAAGGGAGCUCGGAGCAGGCUGCAAAGCUUGACAGGGCUUGAUGGGACCCGAGGGUAACUAAUCCGUGUCGGCUGUACUCGAGCUAAGCAGUUUAAAUCCACUUCUUAUGUCACCAUUCUUAUAUGGAGAGAUAUACGAGAUAUAUAUGAGAGUUUCCCAUAGCUCGUCCUCUGAAGAAGGGAUCCAUCCUCUCCAUGCAGAGGUUUUGGCUGCAGCCAAACCAGGUUGGAAAUGCACCCUUGGAAACAAUGUGAGUCUUUUAAUUCUGCGCUGCAACCUGCUGUGAGCGAGCUGCUGCAGAGAGGUGCUGUGUGACAGAAUGGGAAUGUGUGACAGAAUGGGAACCAGCACUUUGGUUUCACAGAGGAUACUGAGCCUUUUUUUUUUCUCACAUGAAAUAUGUGCUUUCCCCUCUUUUCUCACUCCAAUACUUGUUUGUUUUGCAUUCAAUCGGUGCUGGAAACCACAGUGGGGGGAACUUGGCUGGACUUUCCCUUUUCCCGCUGAGGAAGGCGCCUGCUUCCCUUUUCUUCCUCAGUUUUGCGUUCUGGCUUUUCCGUUCUGCUGCAUUUCUGAUGAAUUGGUGCAAAUCAAGGAAAUUGAUCUCAGUCAAAACCAGAUACGUCUCUUCAUUCGUAUGUGGACAUACAAACCUGCUAAAAAUGGAUCUGGAGUACAAAGGGUUGAGAUGAGCACUAAAGAUCCCUGAGUCCAUCUGCUGGCUCCAUACAGGACCACCCAAUGUCCAAACCCAAUGUCUGAGAGCACUGUCCAAAUGCUCCCUGAGCUCCGGCACUCCGGGCCGUCCCACUGCCCUGGGCAGGCUCUCCAUGCCGUUCCCUCGGGCCCUGUCGCUGUCACACAGAGCAGAGCUCAGCGCUGCCCCUCCGCUCCCUGUGAGGCGCUGCAGCCGCCAUGAGGCCUCCCCUCGGCUCUGGGCUGCGCACACCACGGACCGCUCCUCACAAUCCUUGCCCUCAGAACCUUCCCCAUCUCUGUAGCCCUCCUGUGCAGGGACCGCACCGCUUUCGGUCCAGAGGUGUAUACGUGCUCCGGGGGAUCCAGCCGGUGCGCUGCCCCCGAUGUUGGGGCCACGUACCUGCCCCGCC